rnacentral:tRNA from 2 species
GGGGGUGUUGCAGAUACGGUAGGCUGCACUGGACUUUUAAUCCAGAGAACUUAGGUUCCGUUGUGGGUUCGAAUCCCUCUACCCUCA